rnacentral:rRNA from 1 species
UACGUAGGGGGCAAGCGUUAUCCGGAUUUACUGGGUGUAAAGGGAGCGUAGACGGCAGCGCAAGUCUGAAGUGAAAUCCCGCAGCUUAACUGCGGAACUGCUUUGGAAACUGUGCAGCUAGAGUGCAGGAGAGGUAAGCGGAAUUCCUAGUGUAGCGGUGAAAUGCGUAGAUAUUAGGAGGAACACCAGUGGCGAAGGCGGCUUACUGGACUGUAACUGACGUUGAGGCUCGAAAGCGUGGGGAGCAA